AUACAAUGAAAGAAGGGGGUGUGUGCGCGUGCAAUUCCUUGGGAGCACAGGAUACAAAGAUGAGGAGUGGGUUGUCGUUGGGGUUUUUUUGCGGGCGGGGGGUGUGUCCCAGCCUUCCUAAUGGAACACGCUCCCUCACCCACCGGUUUUGCAUCUGAAUUCUGAUUGCAUUUAAGUACAGCCCUACAGCCACUUCGGAUGGUGCCGGCGAAAGGAGCCCUUACCUGGUCUUGGAGGACAGGAACGCCAGCUUGAUGAGCCCAUAGGGCUGCCUCCGGGAUAUGACAGGAGGAAUCGAGAGCCCUGCCAAGAAAUUAAACGAAAUUCCCCAGGAAGGCCAUGAAUGCAUUCAAAGGAGUCUCCGAGGCAGAGAAAGAACAAGAUGAGAAGCAGAAAAAAUGACAUUGGAAAGAAGUAAACUCACCAGAAGGGCAGAAGGAGAAGCCAUUAAAUUCCACACACAUCGUAUUUCAUCAUCAGAAUCCUGCAGUCAGAGCUGACACCGCGGAAUGAGUUUCUCGCUGUCCCGAGAAUAUAAAACCCGUCACAGCUGCUUCCCUUGGCACUCUGUGCCGGAGACCCCUUCGGCGGCAGACGGGGCUAUUAAUCAGGAGGAUCAGGAGGGACAUUGCCGAGGUCUGCUCUUUUGCGAGGCAUAGAUUGGAGAGCGUGUUGCGGCGAGAGGCAAGAACGGUGCCUUGUACGUCUCUGUUAGAGUUGGGCGUGCAGAGGAGUGAAGACCUCAGCCUCUUCAGGAAUGCUUUGGACUAACUUGGAGGAAUGUUGAGAAUGGAAACAAAAGCUGCGAUCUUCUCCUUGGUUUUGUUACGUUAUGGGAGCAUUGAUUCUAUUGGGUGUGAUCAAUGGCCUAAUUUGGGUAGAAAAGUCUCAUGUGGGAGCAAGGUAUUGAAGACAGAAACCUAUUACGUGUAGGGUUGUGCAAAAGACUGUUGUCUCGCAGGCUGACCCAAAAAUUUUCAACACGGCCUCAAUCUGAGUGAGGGAAAAGGAAGAAGUGUGGCAUGUGUGGAUGAAACGGUUCUGGAGUGUUGGUAAGCACCCCAGACUAACUUGUGACACCUUGUGUAGGCAAUCGGGUGAAUCUAGGAUGAGCAGUUCACCACCGAAAUAGUUUGUGCAAAGCUUUGGUCCUUGGAAAUAACUGACAAGAGAGUUUGCAGCAAAACACAAUUAGAUUUAUUUAAGGGUUAUAGGGGUACAAAAAGGAAGAAUAUGAUUAAUCAGAAGAAGCAAUAAACAACACAAUAAUAAGACUUACUGUAUAUCUCCAGACAGAUAGAUAUGGGCUGCUUUUUUAGUGUCCUGUUUCACAUACAUAUACAGAUCUGGUUUUAUUAACUUACUCAUUAUCUUGUAUGGUAUAUUGUUUUAACUGUAUUUUGAUAACUUAGGCCUUUAUUUUGGAGCCAUAGAAAUCUUUGGCUCAUGUCUGACCAUAACCCUGCUUGCUGCCUGCCUAUUUUGGAGUUUUGCUUGUCUGCAAGAACAGUUUGCUGUUAGCAUUAUGGAACUGUCGUCAUAUACGCGACUCUGAGCAGGGCAAUGAAACUUGGGAUGAACUCUCGUGUUGAACCUGUUUGUUUUGCAUGUAUAGCUAUGUAAUCAAUUUGAUACUGUUUGAAUGGUUGUACUUUAUAUAAGGGAAUCUUCUGUGUGUACUUAGAAUUACAAAUAAUUGUCCGGGGGUGAUGGCGGCUUGUAUAGCUAUGACCCUUUGCUUGUGGCGAUCAGGCUGCUUUGAAAAAGCACUUUGCUCCCUGUGUUCCGAUGAAAUUCAUUAUACCAGCUGCUUGGCUGACCACAAGGAAAGGAGAAGUAGUGACUGCCCUUGCAGUCUACAUCCAUUAGAGCACUGAUCUGAAUUUUAAUAUGCAGAUUGGUAGCAAGGUAUCUAGACACACACAGUGUUGAUAUGCUUUGAUGCCUUAAUGUACUGAAUGUAUUGUUGUUAUUCAUUGUUAUUGGAUGAUAAUAUAUUGAUGUAUUCUCCAAUGUAUUAAGAGGGAAUUUUUAAUUUAUGCUUUUGAUCUAUACUUCUGACCAGAAGUAUGAGUCAAAAACUGGCAGAUUAAGAUUUUGGGGGAGUCAUUUCUUUAUUUUCUUUUUCAUCUGUUCCCAAAAUGGGGAGGUUAGUCUGGUUUCACUAUGUCAAUUGGAUGUUUGAAGAACAUCUAUAUAUACGAGAAAUGACCCUUUUGUUUUCAAGAAUGACUGCAACCCAGACAUGAAACCUGUCUGACAUUGAUCAUCUGAUGAUGAGGACAUUGCGCUCUCAAUGUAAAUUUGCAAAGUGUUGUGAUUUAUACUCAUCCUCUAUGACAUCUUCCGAAUUAAUAGUGGGAGGCCUUUUGUUCUAUAAAGUAACCUAUCAGGAGCUACUGUGCAUCCCAGACCGCCAUCUUGGGAGGUACAAAAUAGAAACGGUGUAAGACCAUGGAGGGGCUGAGCUAGUUUUUGUUUCCCCUUUUGGGGUGGGGGAGGAGAGCAUUUCAUGUGUGUCUUGUCCUGUCUCCCCUUUGGGGAGAGAAAACUUCUCCCCUGUUGUGUCUCCUCUUUUGCGGGCAGAGAACCUUUCUCCUUCUUGAAUCUUCUCCCUCUCUUUCUCCUGACUUAGCUGUGGGCUUCAAGCUCUGGCUUUAGUCCAUUGACUUUUAUCAGGUCUCAGUUUGAGCUCUAUCCUUCGUGCAGCCUCUGCAGGCUGCAGCAACAGGAGUGGUGAGAUAUCUUGUUCUGUUCAAGGGAUUUGAAUCUGUGCUUAAUAUGUCUAGAUUGGUAAAACUGGUUUUGUUUGCUUCUGCUAAUGUAUGCUCUGCUAAUUGAUUACUAAUGUAAUUCAAAAUAAAAGGGUUAUCCUGAUA